UCACACAGUGGAUUUAUAAAAAUGAGAUUACAGAACAUCAGACGGUAGCUUCAACAGAGUUGAAGUGGGAGGACAUCAUCAAUUAAGAAUGCCAUUGACCAAACCUUCAGUCAUCAAAGAAGAUGGAUACAGGGGGACAUCCAGUUUUCCAGACUUACCGAUGGGAAAGAAGAAAUGGGAAUGUGACAAUUAUUGAGAAACUCGGAAAAAGCAUCUUUAGAGAAGAAAAUGGACAUCAGACAUUUAUUGAAGAAAGCUGACAGUCAACAUAAUGAUGAGAGCUGUGUUAUACUCGUUCAUCUUCUGCUGUGUGAAUUCUGCUGUGUCAGUCCUGUGGGACUUGAUGCCGGCUGGUACCAGUGUGACGUCUUUGCUUACUAAAUGAUCAAAGGGUGUCUGAAAUCAGCUCAGCCACAGUUGGUUUCCAACGGUUCUUCAGGACAUGGAGGCCACUACGUAACUGUUGCAAUGAACGAUUCUUUUGCCUUUCCACCUGAUGUUGACAAUCUGACCUGUGCGGUACUGAAAACCACUUGCACUGACAUAUCUUAAAAUAUAUCAGUGUCCUUUGUUUUGCCUCAAAAUGCACACCAGUAAUGUUUUUUGUUGAAACCAGUUAUAUUUCCUAAUUAAACUAAGGCCUAGUCCUGGAUUAAGCUAAUCCACUGUCCGGGAAACCGCCCCUAAAUGUUUUGUGACGGAAAUUUCUUUGAAUACACUUGUCAAGUUCAUUUUAAGUAUUUUUCUAAAUGUAAGAUAACAUGUUAAUGUUUCAGGACAAGUUAAAAAUUUUUGAUAAUUUGCAUGUUGGAAACGAUUUCAGACAUUGUUCUAUUCAACAUGUUUAGCACAGUUGCUUUUAAAUUCAAUGAAUUAUUUUAUAAAUAGUGUUUUAAAACGUAUCAAUGUAAUGUAUGUUUGAAGUUAUUAUACUUGCACUUACAUUUAUUUAAAUUAGCAUACAUCUAGCAACAUAGAGUACUAGCAUAUUUUCAUGCAAGCAUUAAUUGUCAAAUAUUUGUUAUUUUACAAAUAAAUAGUUUGUGAACAAUAUUCAAUAGUUGUCUGCUUGAUUUCAUAAUUUAAAGUUUACAAAUCAUAUGUUUUUUUUUCUCUUUAAUAUUAAAACUAAACAAUUACUCGGUAACACACAGUUGUGUUAGAUUAAUAGAAAGUUACACAUUAAUGUGUUUACUGAAGCAACACAUUUUUGUGUUGCAUUUUAUAACACAUAUUCUGUGUUAAAUUUAACUCAACAUGUGUUGUCCCUGCGCACACUCAGAACAUGUGUAAAAAAUAACACAUGUUGUGUUGUUUUUAACACAUUUGUUUUAAG